AUUCUCAUGAAAUGGUCAAAAAUAAAACCAAAAGAGUAUGCAUCAAUGGGUAUCAGUUUAUUGCGAUGGUCGAGAAAAGUGAAUUACAGAGCACUUGGUGGUUUGCAAGUUGGUUGCCAAACCCAGUCGAACCAGUUGAUACAAGAUUGAGUGGAAGGAUCGAACAUUCCUUCCGUUGGACAACGAACCAGUGUGGCUGCGGUUCCAGCUGAGGUGCAUUGCCAGUAAGCAGUGGGGUCCCAAUUGUUUCUCCAUCUUCCUUGAGCUGCCUCUGCGGCGUUACAGGCCGGACGUCCAUCGGUAUCAUCACGAACACACUGGCUACUUGCAACGGCAAUCAAACAAGCCAAGAUGAGCACUAUAAUAAAUUUAAGAAAACUUGCAAAUUACAGUUCCCUCAAAGUAUAUAUUCUAUAACUUACGUUUCAUUGUGAGUUCGAAAAAGUUAUUUCUUGGUUACAGUGAAUGUAGUGAAUUCCGAAACUGAAUGACCGAAAUUGGAAUGAAACUGAAGUUUUAUACCUUUCAUUCUAACCCUGAGAAGAUCGAAAUCGCGAUAACGUUUUAAUUACAACUGCUUAAAUUUCGUACUUCUGCGGAAUCUCGUUAUCGCAACAAAUGUGCAGAAAAAGACGCCGCUUAAACCAAUUUGAACGAUGACACAUAACUUUUUGUAUGUUUGCUUGAAAAUUUCCGAAAAGUGCAUCCAGUUUCCUGGUAUUUAUUUAUCGCCAAACAAGUGCAAACGAUGUCAAUGUCAAUCGAAGUUUCGAUCCCACUUGAUUAAUUUCUUAUCUUUGAAAUGUAACAUUUUUCUCCUACUGCACAAAACUAAUUUUAUCAUGUUCAUUAUUUCGAAGGAAACAUGGUAAAAGGACCAAGCUUUUAUAAUUUUAAUUACGGUGAACUUCUACAAGGUCUGAACUGGAGCUAACACUCCUGACAACUGUAAACUUUUCUCAACUCCCGAACUACAAAUCAUUUUCCUGAAAGAAUGCUUCCACCCAAUAAACUCCUUGUGCAUCUACUUUCGACUAGGAGGGACAAUAUCUUGAGGAGCCGCCUUAGCUACUGGUUGAAGAAUAUGUUAACGCUCGCAGACUUCAAACAGCAAUUGAAAGUGAAUUUGAUUGCACCAACAUGUUCCUCCGUGAUUAUUAUUAUCGUAUGGAUCGGUAACGAGAGCCAAUCAACCAAAUAUCAUGGUACAAAUGACUAGCAAUCCUGAAUUGAGAAAGCUAGCAACUCCAGCAUUUCGAAUGUGAAUCAUCAAAGUAUUCGAAAUAGUGGUUCAGCUAUAGAGUUGGCUCCAUAGACUCAGAGGCGCAAUGAUGAGGAUGAGAGAGGAGCAGCAUCGGCAUAUAGCAGAGUUUUUUUUUCAAUUUAGUCAAUUUUCGCAGAACACGGGGCAACAGUGUUCGCGCCUUUCAUGAAAAAAUCUUAUAACAUUUUAUAACAUUGGUCAACAUUUGUCCCCUUCGGAGCAUGGGUAGCGCAGCAAUAAAAACUAUGCUAGCGUGAAUGUAAAUAAAA